rnacentral:rRNA from 1 species
AUUGAACGCUGGCGGCAGGCCUAACACAUGCAAGUCGAACGGUAACAGGAAGCAGCUUGCUGCUUCGCUGACGAGUGGCGGACGGGUGAGUAAUGUCUGGGAAGCUGCCUGAUGGAGGGGGAUAACUACUGGAAACGGUAGCUAAUACCGCAUAAUGUCGCAAGACCAAAGAGGGGGACCUUCGGGCGUCUUGCCAUCGGAUGUGCCCAGAUGGGAUUAGCUUGUUGGUGGGGUAACGGCUCACCAAGGCGACGAUCCCUAGCUGGUCUGAGAGGAUGACCAGCCACACUGGAACUGAGACACGGUCCAGACUCCUACGGGAGGCAGCAGUGGGGAAUAUUGCACAAUGGGCGCAAGCCUGAUGCAGCCAUGCCGCGUGUAUGAAGAAGGCCUUCGGGUUGUAAAGUACUUUCAGCGGGGAGGAAGGGAGUAAAGUUAAUACCUUUGCUAAUUGACGUUACCCGCAGAAGAAGCACCGGCUAACUCCGUG